AUUGAACGCUGGCGGCAGGCCUAACACAUGCAAGUCGAGCGAGCGGCGGACGGGUGAGUAAUGUCUGGGAAACUGCCUGAUGGAGGGGGAUAACUACUGGAAACGGUAGCUAAUACCGCAUACCAUCAGAUGUUCCCAGAUGGUCUUAGCUGGUAGGUGGGGUAACGGCUCACCUAGGCGACGAUCCCUAGCUGGUCUGAGAGGAUGACCAGCCACACUGGAACGGAGACACGGUCCAUACUCCUACGGGAGGCAGCAGUGGGGAAUAUUGCACAAGGGGCGCAAGCCUGAUGCAGCCAUGCCGCGUGUAUGAAGAAUGCCUGCGGGUUGUAAAGUACUUUCAGCGGGGAGGCGUUACCCGCAGAAGAAGCACCGGCUAACUCCGUGCCAGCAGCCGCGGUAAUAC
rnacentral:rRNA from 1 species